rnacentral:rRNA from 1 species
AAAUUGAAGAGUUUGAUCAUGGCUCAGAUUGAACGCUGGCGGCAGGCCUAACACAUGCAAGUCGAACGGUAACAGGAAGCAGCUUGCUGCUUUGCUGACGAGUGGCGGACGGGUGAGUAAUGUCUGGGAAACUGCCUGAUGGAGGGGGAUAACUACUGGAAACGGUAGCUAAUACCGCAUAACGUCGCAAG